rnacentral:rRNA from 1 species
CAGCCGCCGCGGUAAUACGUAGGGUGCAAGCGUUAAUCGGAAUUACUGGGCGUAAAGCGUGCGCAGGCGGUUUUGUAAGACAGAGGUGAAAUCCCCGGGCUCAACCUGGGAACUGCCUUUGUGACUGCAAGGCUAGAGUACGGCAGAGGGGGAUGGAAUUCCGCGUGUAGCAGUGAAAUGCGUAGAUAUGCGGAGGAACACCGAUGGCGAAGGCAAUCCCCUGGGCCUGUACUGACGCUCAUGCACGAAAGCGUGGGGAGCAAACAGGAUUAGAUACCCCUGUAGUCCCUGUCUCUUAUAC